UACCAGCACCCCGAGUGGUCGGGACGAUUAUUGGGCCUAAAGCCUCCGUAGCCGGUUUUACAAGUCCUCCGUUAAAUCCACCUGCUUAACAGAUGGGCUGCGGAGGAUACUAUAAGACUAGGAGGCAGGAGAGGCAAGCGGUACUCAGUGGGUAGGGGUAAAAUCCGUUGAUCCAUUGAAGACCACCAGUGGCGAAGGCGGCUUGCCAGAAUGCGCUCGACGGUGAGGGAUGAAAGCUGGGGGAGCAAACCGG
rnacentral:rRNA from 1 species